rnacentral:rRNA from 1 species
AACGCUAGCGGCAGGCUUAACACAUGCAAGUCGAGGGGCAUCACGGGUAGCAAUACCUGGUGGCGACCGGCGCAAGGGUGCGUAACGCGUGAGCAACAUGCCCUAUACAGGGGGAUAAUCCAGGGAAACUUGGUCUAAUAUCCCAUAGCAUUUAGAGGUGGCAUCACCAUUAAAUUAAAGCUUCGGUGGUAUAGGAUUGGCUCGCGUGACAUUAGCUAGAUGGUGGGGUAACGGCUCACCAUGGCUAUGAUGUCUAGGGGUUCUGAGAGGAAGACCCCCCCACACUGGGACUGAGACACGGCCCAGACUCCUACGGGAGGCAGCAGUGAGGAAUAUUGGACAAUGGAUGGAAAUCUGAUCCAGCCAUGCCGCGUGCAGGAAGACGGCCCUAUGGGUUGUAAACUGCUUUUAUAUGGGAGCAAUAAGGUCUACGAGUAGACCGAUGAGAGUACCAUAUGAAUAAGCAUCGGCUAACUCCGUG